rnacentral:rRNA from 1 species
CCUACGGGUGGCUGCAGUGGGGAAUAUUGGACAAUGGGCGAAAGCCUGAUCCAGCCAUGCCGCGUGUGUGAAGAAGGCCUUCGGGUUGUAAAGCACUUUCAGUGGGGAAGAAAGCCUUGGGGCUAAUACCCUCGAGGAAGGACAUCACCCACAGAAGAAGCACCGGCUAACUCCGUGCCAGCAGCCGCGGUAAUACGGAGGGUGCGAGCGUUAAUCGGAAUUACUGGGCGUAAAGCGCGCGUAGGCGGUCUGAUAAGCCGGUUGUGAAAGCCCCGGGCUCAACCUGGGAACGGCAUCCGGAACUGUCAGGCUAGAGGGCAGGAGAGGAAGGGAGAAUUCCCGGUGUAGCGGUGAAAUGCGGAGAGAUCGGGAGGAAUACCAGUGGCGAAGGCGGCCUUCUGGACUGACACUGACGCUGAGGUGCGAAAGCGUGGGUAGCAAACAGGAUUAGAUACCCUAGUAGUC